rnacentral:rRNA from 1 species
AGCGAACGCUGGCGGCAGGCUUAACACAUGCAAGUCGAGCGGGCACUUUCGGGUGUCAGCGGCGGACGGGUGAGUAACGCGUGGGAACGUGCCCUCUGGUUCGGAAUAACUCAGGGAAACUUGAGCUAAUACCGGAUACGCCCUUUUGGGGAAAGGCUUGCUGCCGGAGGAUCGGCCCGCGUCUGAUUAGCUAGUUGGUGAGGUAACGGCUCACCAAGGCGACGAUCAGUAGCUGGUCUGAGAGGAUGAUCAGCCACACUGGGACUGAGACACGGCCCAGACUCCUACGGGAGGCAGCAGUGGGGAAUAUUGGACAAGGGGCGCAAGCCUGAUCCAGCCAUGCCGCGUGAGUGAUGAAGGCCUUAGGGUUGUAAAGCUCUUUUAUCCGGGACGAUAAUGACGGUACCGGAGGAAUAAGCCCCGGCUAACUUCGUG